GAUGAACGCUAGCUACAGGCUUAACACAUGCAAGUCGAGGGGAAACGGCAUUAAGUGCUUGCACUUUUUGGACGUCGACCGGCGCACGGGUGAGUAACGCGUAUCCAACCUUCCCAUGACUAAGUGAUAACCUGCCGAAAGGCAGACUAAUACCUUAUGGUCUUCACUGACGGCAUCAGAUGUGAAGUAAAGAUUUAUCGGUUAUGGAUGGGGAUGCGUCUGAUUAGCUUGUUGGCGGGGUAACGGCCCACCAAGGCAACGAUCAGUAGGGGUUCUGAGAGGAAGGUCCCCCACAUUGGAACUGAGACACGGUCCAAACUCCUACGGGAGGCAGCAGUGAGGAAUAUUGGUCAAUGGGCGAGAGCCUGAACCAGCCAAGUAGCGUGCAGGAUGACGGCCCUAUGGGUGGUAAACUGCUUUUGUAUGGGGAUAAAGUCAAUCACGUGUGAUUGUUUGCAGGUACCAUACGAAUAAGGACCGGCUAAUUCCGUG
rnacentral:rRNA from 1 species